AUUGAACGCUGGCGGCAGGCUUAACACAUGCAAGUCGAGCGAGAGGCGGACGGGUGAGUUAUGGCUGGGAAACUGCCUGAUGGAGGGGGAUAACUACUGGAAACGGUAGCUAAUACCGCAUACCAUACGGUGUACCCAGAUGGGAUUAGCUCGUAGGUGGGGUAAUGGCUCACCUAGGCGACGAUCCCUAGCUGGUCUGAGAGGAUGACCAGCCACACGGGAACUGAGACACGGUCCAGACUCCGACGGGAGGCAGGAGUGGGGAAUAUUGCACAAGGGGCGAAAGCCUGAUGCAGCCAUGCCGCGUGUGUGAAGAAGGCCUUCGGGUUGUAAAGCACUUUCAGCGAGGAGGCGUUACUCGCAGAAGAAGCACCGGCUAACUCCGUGCCAGCAGCCGCGGUAAUAC
rnacentral:rRNA from 1 species